rnacentral:lncRNA from 1 species
CUCUAUGAGGAUGUUCCAUCUCUCUCAUCCUCUCUGUCCUUCUAUCCCUCUAUCUAAUAUGUCUCGAAGAUAUUGUACAACUGUACAGACUCUCUAUGAGGCUGUUCCAUCUCUCUGCUCUUCCAUCUCUCUCUCAUCCUCUCUGUCCUUCUAUCUAAUGUGUCUCUCUAUGAGGCUGUUCCAUCUCUCUCAUCCUCUCUGUCCUUCUAUCCCUCUAUCUAAUGUGUCUCUCUAUGAGGCUGUUCCAUCUCUCUCAUCCUCUCUGUCCUUCUAUCCCUCUAUCUAAUGUGUCUCUCUAUGAGGCUGUUCCAUCUCUCUCAUCC